rnacentral:misc_RNA from 1 species
AGAAAUUAGGGACCUGUGAUUAUGUGAGUGUCUGAAAUUAAUCUAUGACUUGAAAUGCUUAGUGUUCUGUAAAUUAUUUUAUCAGCUCUAUGUUGCCAAAAAUUUGCCAGCAGCAAGUGAUAUAUGCUGCACAGUUUUUGUUUACAUGUUUAAGCAUACAACUAGCUGCCUAACCCCUUUAACUUCAGGACUGUAUAUUUGAACAAUAAAUAUCAUUUCUAAGUCUCUUAUAAAAGGUGUCAUCAGAAUUUGUUUACAAUCAACAUCCUGGCAGUUACUAUGUAUUUGACAACAAUUUUUGUUUUUGCAUGUCUAUUGGACAUCAGGUGUUGGCUAUAUCAUAGUUUGUAAUCAGCUAAUCCUAAUGUUAUAAACUUAUAGCCCUUUUGCUUCUUAUCUUGUGAUUUUUUUAAAAACUUGAGAACAUGGGAAAUAAUUUUCUGCUUGAUUCUACAUUUCUUGAGACAGAUUUGAUUGGAAUAUCCAUUUCUUCCUGCUGUUACUUCACUUAGCAAGAAGGUCUUUGCUUGCUAGUGUUGGUAUUCCAGAUAUUUAUUUGGGUAGUUUUUACCUUUUGCAUUUCUAUCGAAAAAAAUGUUAUCAAUCCAUUCCAUGCUAUUUUUUGUUAUACACAUGUUGUGUCUUUCUUUAAGGGCAUUACUUUUGGUUGCAAGUUGUGAUGUAUAAUGGAUAAUGUGUUGUAACUGGUGAUCUAUUAACGUUUGCAGUGGGCUAAAAGAUUUUAGCAUGUGAAGGCAAGAGAAUAACUAGUAAAAUAGUGAAUUGUGCUUUUAUCAUGGAAGGUUUAAAGUUUGUAAUUCUAUUUUGUCCCACUCAACUACUUUUUUGAGUAGUCUAAAAAACUAGUAGAUUCAUAGGAUUUGACUUGCAUUUGAAUUUUUCAUGUUUUUAAUUUUUUACUGCAACAGGCAGCAGUACUACAACAUCCUUCA